AGCAUCACUGGCGGAAAAUGCAAUAGACAGUUGUUAGAAAACAAAGAAGAAAAUAUUAGAAUCAUACGUACACCAAUGGUCCAUAUAUGGUUUUAUUUGCGAUUUAUGAUACACAUCGCAACUUUUUUUUCGAGUGACCUCGACAUUGACUGAAUUAAAUAACGUCGCCGAAAAAUAUUCUUGAAAGCAUGUCUUUUUUCCAUCGAAUUAACCUUUUCAUCUCGGAGCUCCUUCUUUAUGGUGCUGCUCCUAACCAAUAGAGCAGGUAUCUCGUUCCCGCGGAUACUCUUGUGCCCCGGUGACCACAAUAGCUGAGUGCAAUUGCCCAGUCCUGAAAGCGAUGACUUUUUUGUCGGCGUUCUAUUUCCAGUGAAAGCUGAUUUUAAGUUAAAAAUCAUAUAAGAAAAUUCUCACUCAAAAAAUAUUUAUUCUAAUUGCUUACUAAUAGCAGCAACGACUAAAAUUGUUCAAAAUUUAGCUACGAGUACGAACUAUAUUUUAUAAUUAUUGAAUGUCGAAUGACUAUAAACCAGAGCAAGCCGGAAAUG